CUCCUACAAGGUACACAGGCGAGGCUGGAAGAUCUCUGCUCGGAAGAGAGGCCUUGCGGCUGAAACCUUCCAAUUUAUGUCCGCUGAAAACAAACUCGGACCAGCUUAGAGAGGGAAAUGGACAGCGGUGGCUAGGAUAUAGGGUUCUGGGAGCAGAAGUAGAUAAUUCAAGGUAGGCCAGUGCUGCCUGAUUACAACCCGAAGUAAAGAUUCAGGCUGAGCAAGCAAAAAAGUCCAAAGACAGAGUGACAGGAGGAUUGGGGAUAGCGACAGGGGCCCUGUGAGAGUAAGGGCAAUACCGAGGGCUGUGGCCCGAAGUCGGGCGAAUUUGGAGUGGCUACCGCGAGGGGAAACCAUCCAUACCAGUCACCACAGCCGCCACCAGCCGUCUCAGACACAGACUCUCCCGCCAUCAAAAUGGCGGCGGCGGCGACGGCAGCGGCGGCAGCCUCUACGCCGGCAGAGGCCAGGCUGAAGAAGUUGCUAUUGAACGCAUCGAUGGCUCCGUUAUCUACAUAACAUGUAUCUUUCCAAGGACUUUGCUGGGGAAGAAGUAGUGUCCACAUUUCAUGAAUGAAAAAAAAUGAGACUCAGAGAGGCCAAGUAAGCUGCCCAAGGCCACAGAGCUAAUACAUAGUGAUAGAUGUGAACUUCAAACUUGAAUUUGUCUGGCUCCAAAAUCUCUAUUCUUUUACUACAAAAAAAAACUGAGAAGAGGGAGAGAGUUUGCUGUGAGUUUCCAGCGUUACAGGGAAUAAUAUAUUGGAAGGAUUUUUCUGUUUUCUG